UACGUAGGGCGCAAGCGUUGUCCGGAAUUAUUGGGCGUAAAGAGCUCGUAGGCGGUUUGUCGCGUCUGCUGUGAAAACCUAAGGCUCAACCUUGGGCUUGCAGUGGGUACGGGCAGACUAGAGUGCGGGUAGGGGUGACUGGAAUUCCUGGUGUAGCGGUGGAAUGCGCAGAUAUCAGGGAGGAACACCGGUGGGCGAAGGCGGGUCUCUGG
rnacentral:rRNA from 1 species